GAGGGUAUAGCCCAGUGGUGGAAUGCAUGCCUAGCAUGAAUGAAGGUCCUAGGUUCAAUCCCUAGUACCUCCA
rnacentral:tRNA from 1 species